rnacentral:rRNA from 1 species
AUUGAACGCUGGCGGUAUGCCUUACACAUGCAAGUCGAACGGUAGAGGGGCAACCCUUGAGAGUGGCGAACGGGUGAGUAAUACAUCGGAACGUGCCCAGUCGUGGGGGAUAACGUAGCGAAAGCUACGCUAAUACCGCAUACGACCUGAGGGUGAAAGCGGGGGAUCGCAAGACCUCGCGCGAUUGGAGCGGCCGAUGGCAGAUUAGGUAGUUGGUGGGGUAAAGGCCUACCAAGCCUGCGAUCUGUAGCUGGUCUGUGAGGACGACCAGCCACACUGGGACUGGGACACGGCCCAGACUCCUACGGGAGGCAGCAGUGGGGAAUUUUGGACAAUGGGCGAAAGCCUGAUCCAGCCAUACCGCGUGCGGGAAGAAGGCCUUCGGGUUGUAAACCGCGUUUGUCAGGGAAGAAAUCUUCUGGGUUAAUACCUCGGGAGGAUGACGGUACCUGAAGAAUAAGCACCGGCUAACUACGUGCCAGCCGCCGCCGUAA